rnacentral:rRNA from 1 species
GAUGAACGCUGGCGGCGUGCCUAAUACAUGCAAGUCGAGCGAACAGACGAGGAGCUUGCUCCUCUGACGUUAGCGGCGGACGGGUGAGUAACACGUGGAUAACCUACCUAUAAGACUGGGAUAACUUCGGGAAACCGGAGCUAAUACCGGACAAUAUAUUGAACCGCAUGGUUCAAUAGUGAAAGACGGUUUUGCUGUCGCUUAUAGAUGGAUCCGCGCCGCAUUAGCUAGUUGGUAAGGUAACGGCUUACCAAGGCAACGAUGCGUAGCCGACCUGAGAGGGUGAUCGGCCACACUGGAACUGAGACACGGUCCAGACUCCUACGGGAGGCAGCAGUAGGGAAUCUUCCGCAAUGGGCGAAAGCCUGACGGAGCAACGCCGCGUGAGUGAUGAAGGUCUUCGGAUCGUAAAACUCUGUUAUUAGGGAAGAACAAAUGUGUAAGUAACUAUGCACGUCUUGACGGUACCUAAUCAGAAAGCCACGGCUAACUACGUG